UAAUACGUAGGCAGCAAGCGUUGUUCGGAGUUACUGGGCGUAAAGGGUGCGUAGGCGGUUCUUUAAGUCUGGUGUGAAAUCUCCCGGCUCAACUGGGAGGGUGCGCCGGAUACUGAGGGACUAGAGUGCGGGAGGGGAGAGUGGAAUUCCUGGUGUAGCGGUGAAAUGCGUAGAUAUCAGGAGGAACACCGGUGGUGUAAACGGCUCUCUGGACCGCUACUGACGCUGAGGCACGAAAGCGUGGGGAGCAAACAGGAUUAGAUACCCUGGUAGUCCACGCCCUAAACGAUGCAUAUUUGGUGUAGGCAGUUCAUUCUGUCUGUGCCGGAGCUAACGCGUUAAAUAUGCCGCCUGGGGAGUACAGUCGCAAGGCUG
rnacentral:rRNA from 1 species